UAGGAAACCUCCACAUACGUAUCUGGAGAUGCGACCAUUGGUUAGGGCUAACCAGUGCCGUCGAGUCGAUUCCACCUCAUAGAUUUCUUAUACUACCCAGGUCUUACAAGACAGUAUGUGACUAAAAUAAGGCUGCGGUUUCCUUUGCCUAUUCCUACCUUCAUAAAUAGGCCGCAUUAAAGGUGGGGGAGCGUAAUUCAAGUCUCGCUCUGCCAAACACAGGCACUCCCACAAAGAUUAACUGAUUAUUAGUUUUUACUUUGAGUGUGGGGACCUAAAAGUGUUUCCCACCUGGUAUGCUGCUAGUUUGAAAAGGUUAAGGAAUGUGAAACCAAAUGAAGUUUGGCCCUAGCCUUCUGAAGCAUUUGAAGUGGAACGUGGGCUAGGUGUCUGUGGCUGUCGCCAAACUAGGUGAACAGACAUCGCUCUCCCUUUCCGUUCUGAGAUCUUCAAAUUUCUCUCCUUCCCCCAAAGUGCUAACUUCAGGGGCCUGGGAGUGGCAAGAGGGGAGCGGACCAAAAGGGACAGGCCCAAGGGUCCCAGGGAUCUCCAAGGGCUGCCGUUAGAUCUCCUUCCCAGAAGCCAACCUUAAACCUUCUUGGGUCUUGGGAGAUGACUCUAACACAAGCCUUAACGAACCUGGAUCAAGACAAAAAUCUCAGAAUGAAAUGUGUGUGGCGACGGGAGGUUUCUACUGAGCUAAUUGCACUGAUUACCUCCAGAAGCAAUGUGGCAAGAGGAAAAGACUGAAGUUCAGAAUAGGAAGCUGAGUUGAGAAGGAUUCAGCGAUUUCCCCAAGGUCACACAACUUGUAAGUGGGAGCAACAGAGUGCAAAGUCAAGCCUUCUGAUUCCAAAUCCCGUGUUUUUUCAGCUGCAUCGGGAAUCCGGAGAUUCUGCCCCUAGUAUUAACGACAGCAGUAAUAAAACAGUAACCACAACUGUUUAUUUUAGUGCUCUCCUAUAUGCCAGUCUCUUUGAAAAUAUUAUCUCUUGGGGCAGGAACUAUUACUCUGUUUUAUAUCCAUGAGAAAACCUAACAUCAGGGUUAAAUAACUUCCCAAGAUCACACAGCUAGUACAGACAGCAAGUAUUGAAUCAAGUCUGUCUGAAUCUAGAGAUUAUGUUUUUAAACUGCUCUGCUAUAGUGGCCUUUGAAAUGCCCUUUGCAAAGUAGUGUGUGAAAUGAAAAUACUCUGUUAGAACUAUUUAUUGAGAUUUUCGCCAGAAAUGGAUUUCUUGCCCUUUAAAAGCACUAGUGUCUUACAAUGUACUCUAUUGAAAGUCCUGUUUUCCAGGGGCCACAGAUGGAGGACAGAUGUUUCUUUAUGCUCUGAAAAGUCCACUCUAUGUCACUGACUGUAAUGACAUUGUAUCUUAUUCUAUACAUUUCAGAAAUAUGGCUUCAGAUGCAUCAUUCCAAGUGAAAGCCAAAUCAAGUGAGUUAUCACACAAGUUUGAUGAGGAGGGAGAAAAAAAACAGGAUGUUAUUUACGGGUAUGGGUGGAGCUUCUUUUCAUUUCAGAGUUAAUUCUGAAUUCACAGACAUUUGCAGCUGCCUUCCACACAAUGAUUCAGCCUGAAGUCAGAGAACUGCAUGCAUGUCUGAUUAAGACUUCUAUGACAAGACGGUGGGGGAGUGGUGUUACAGGCUUGGGUAAUGCGAUGCUGAACUUUAUUUCUGUGAGAUACAGAAUCACGGGAAGAAUAAAGGCCCUCAGGCCAAGGACAGCAAGUGGAAAAUUUGCUUUGACUUAAUCAUGACAAUUCAGAUAUUCAGAUAUGGAGCCCCGGUGGCACCAUGAGGAGCCCUGGUGGCGCAGUGGUUAAGAGCUAUGGCUGCUAACCAAAAGGUCAACAGUUGAAAUCCCUCAGCCACUCCUUGGAAACCCUAUGAGGCAGUUCUCUGUCCUAUAGGGUCACUAUGAGUCGGAAUCAGAUAUUCAGAUAAACAGGAGUCCUUGGAUGGUGCAAACAUUUAAAUGCUGGACUACUAGCUGAAAGGUUGGUGGUUCGAACCCACCCAGAGGCACCUCAGAAGAAAGUCCUGACAAUCUGCUUCCAAAAGGUCACAGCCUUGAAAACCCUGUGAAGCAGUUCUACUCUGGACACAUGGGGUGGUUAUGAGUAGGAAUCGACGCAACGGCAACUAACAACAGCAAAUUCAGGUAAACAGAAACUUUCUGUGAAUUCAGUAAAGUCAUACUUUAGUGCCAGAGCAUAUUUUAAAUGUUCAUUUGGAAAAAAUAAUUAGACAUCUAAUGUAAUAUUUUCACAUCUUUUAUUCUGUUUUGCAGUCAUGAUUACCACCUGUGAAAAAGUUUUUCAGGGCAGUACACAAAAGCAGUUAUGCUUCCACCAAGCUGAUUUUCUGGUUAGGAAGCACAUUUGUAUUAUACAGACAAUCAUAGCAUCUCAGAGCCUAAAAGUGGCCAUAGAGUCAGCUUAGCUCAGUGCCUUUUAUUUUCCGAAGCAGAAAUUGAGGCCCAGUGAGGGUCAGCGACAUUUGGAAGUCAGACUAACUCAACUGGGAGAAUUUCCUGAAGACCUAAACAACUUGGUGGAAGGUGGUAUAUGCAGAUUUGGCUGAGUUUUCGCAUUAGUAUCUAACAACAUGCACUCUGAAAUAAAAUCUGGAUUCGUUUCCAGGUUCCUUUCCUUAUCAGUUGUGUGUCCUUUGGCAAAUUGCUUAACUUCCUAAAGCCUCAGUUUCCUCAUCUGUAGAAUGGACAUAAAUUUUCUUUCAUUAACUUCAUCGUGGAGCCCUGGUGGCACAGUGGUUAAAAGCUUGACUGCUAACCAAAAAGUCAGCAGUUCAAAUCCAUCAGACAGUCCUUGGAUACCCUGUGGGGCAGUUCUAGUCUGGCCUAUAGGGCUGCUAUGAUUUGGAAUUGACUUGACAGCAAUAGGGUUUUUUUUUUUUUUUAACCUCAUCAUACCCAUUAUACCCUCAAAUAAUGUCCACAAAAGCACUACUUUCAUCAUGCCAUUUUUCCUGCCCACAAGCCUUCAACAACUUCUUGUUUUGACAAUCGGACUGCAAAAGUACUCUUAGAAGACCCCUAAAAUGACAGAUAUUCAGGCUGAGCUCACAGUAAUGGGUUAAUCUGCUCUGACCCUGAGGGAGGAGGGCAAAGCUGUGGCUGUUCUCAGAAUGUUUUCCUGCAAACUGCCUUUGUCCUUGAAAGAUAGGCAGAACCAUUUUCACAAAAUACAUGUGCAAGUUGCUUUCAGAAUUUCUGUAGAUUAACUGUUAUAUGACUUGUGGUUAUUGUUUCCUUAAGUUUUCAUAUAUAAAUACUUUUUUUCAACUCCUGUACUUCGGAG